GAUGAACGCUGGCGGCGUGCCUAAUACAUGCGUGUCGAGCGAACAGACGAGGAGCUUGCUCCUCUGACGUUAGCGGCGGACGGGUGAGUAACACGUGGAUAACCUACCUAUAAGACUGGGAUAACUUCGGGAAACCGGAGCUAAUACCGGAUAAUAUAUUGAACCGCAUGGUUCAAUAGUGAAAGACGGUUUUGCUGUCACUUAUAGAUGGAUCCGCGCCGCAUUAGCUAGUUGGUAAGGUAACAGCUUACCAAGGCAACGAUGCGUAGCCGACCUGAGAGGGUGAUCGGCCACACUGGAACUGAGACACGGUCCAGACUCCUACGGGAGGCAGCAGUAGGGAAUCUUCCGCAAUGGGCGAAAGCCUGACGGAGCAACGCCGCGUGAGUGAUGAAGGUCUUCGGAUCGUAAAACUCUGUUAUUAGGGAAGAACAAAUGUGUAAGUAACUAUGCACGUCUUGACGGUACCUAAUCAGAAAGCCACGGCUAACUACGUG
rnacentral:rRNA from 1 species